GAGUUUGAUCCUGGCUCAGGACGAACGCUGGCGGCGCGCCUAACACAUGCAAGUCGAACGGAGUCAAGAGGAGCUUGCUUUUCUUGACUUAGUGGCGAACGGGUGAGUAACGCGUGAGUAACCUGCCCUGGAGUGGGGGACAACAGUUGGAAACGACUGCUAAUACCGCAUAAGCCCACGAUCCGGCAUCGGAUUGAGGGAAAAGGAUUUAUUCGCUUCAGGAUGGACUCGCGUCCAAUUAGCUAGUUGGUGAGGUAACGGCCCACCAAGGCGACGAUUGGUAGCCGGACUGAGAGGUUGAACGGCCACAUUGGGACUGAGACACGGCCCAGACUCCUACGGGAGGCAGCAGUGGGGAAUAUUGCACAAUGGGGGAAACCCUGAUGCAGCGACGCCGCGUGGAGGAAGAAGGUCUUCGGAUUGUAAACUCCUGUUGUUGGGGAAGAUAAUGACGGUACCCAACAAGGAAGUGACGGCUAACUACGUGCCAGCCGCCGCGGUAAUUC
rnacentral:rRNA from 1 species